rnacentral:rRNA from 1 species
GUGAGGAAUUUUCCGCAAUGGUCGAAAGACUGACGGAGCAACGCCGCGUGCAGGAGGACGCUUUUCGGAGUGUAAACUGCUUUUCUGUGGGACGAGCGAGGACGGUACCACAGGAAGAAGCCCCGGCUAACUACGUGCCAGCAGCCGCGGUAAUACGUAGGGGGCGAGCGUUGUCCGGAGUUACUGGGCGUAAAGGGCAUGCAGGCGGUCGGACGCGUUUUGUGUGACAGCGGGUGGCUUAACUACCCGAGUAUGCGAAAGACGGUUUGACUUGAGGGCUCGAGAGGGACACGGAAUUCCGGGUGGAGUGGUGAAAUGCGUAGAGAUCCGGAGGAACACCGAAGGCGAAGGCAGUGUCCUGGCGAGUGACUGACGCUGAGGUGCGAAAGCUAGGGGAGCGAACGGGAUUAGAUACCCGGGUAGUCC